rnacentral:rRNA from 1 species
GACGUAGGAUGCGAGCGUUGUCCGGAUUUAUUGGGCGUAAAGAGUUCGUAGGUGGUUUUAUAAGUCUGGUGUAAAAGGCUGGGGCUCAACCCUGGUAUGGCACUGGAUACUGUAAGACUGGAGUGCAGUAGAGGCAAGCGGAAUUCCCAGUGUAGCGGUGAAAUGCGUAGAUAUUGGGAAGAACACCGGUGGCGCAAGCGGCUUGCUGGGCUGUAACUGACGCUGAGGAACGAAAGCUAGGGGAGCAAAUGGG